rnacentral:rRNA from 1 species
GACGAGCGCUGGCGGCGUGCUUAACACAUGCAAGUCGAACGGAAAGGCCCUGCUUUUGUGGGGUGCUCGAGUGGCGAACGGGUGAGUAACACGUGAGUAACCUGCCCUUGACUUUGGGAUAACUUCAGGAAACUGGGGCUAAUACCGGAUAGGAGCUCCUGCUGCAUGGUGGGGGUUGGAAAGUUUCGGCGGUUGGGGAUGGACUCGCGGCUUAUCAGCUUGUUGGGGGGGUAGUGGCUUACCAAGGCUUUGAUGGGUAGCCGGCCUGGGAGGGUGACCGGCCACAUUGGGACUGAGAUACGGCGCAGACUCCUACGGGAGGCAGCAGUGGGGAAUAUUGCACAAUGGGCGGAAGCCUGAUGCAGCAACGCCGCGUGCGGGAUGACGGCCUUCGGGUUGUAAACCGCUUUCGCCUGUGACGAAGCGUGAGUGACGGUAAUGGGUAAAGAAGCACCGGCUAACUACGUG